CUGCCCGGUGGCUCCCAGGGCGUCACUCGGCCUCUGUCCCCCUGUCCCUGCAACUCCUCCACCGGGGGCCGGAGACCCCCCUCUCUGCGUGGCAGGCAAGACACGGGUGGCUGUGCCGGCUGGUUUGAAGUAGAGUCCACAGGCUCUGGCACUUGGAGAAGCUUCUUCCCAGAGUUGGUGGCUUCGCUAUGUCUAAGUCUCCAGGGAACUCAGCAUCCUAGGAUCCAACACUCAAACUCUGGGAUGUGUAAAGGCAUGAACUGAUUGGAAUGACUCAACCAUAUUUUCCAGAACACACUGGCUCAACAUCAGAAUCUCCUGGGGACUUUUCAGGUCUGCGAACGCGAGAUGAAAAAGUGGCUGUUUGUGAAAUGGUUGCUCUCCUGGGAAAGGGGUAUGGGAGAAAAUGGACUCUCUGCGCCCAGCCCUCCAGAGAUGGCACCCCAGCCCCCGUGAUAAAUGGCAGCAUUAACAAGGUAAUCACUGCCUCAAAGAGUGACCUGGAAGGAGCAGUUCUGGGCUGUCUUUAUGGACCUGUCAUCAGCAAAUCAUCUCCCAUCAGGACCACACGACCAACGUACUCAGGCAGAAGUUGAGAGCCAUGGGGAGCCUCACGGAGGACGGCCACCAGGUCCCCUUACAAAAUAAACUCAUUUCCAGCCAAACCCGA